GAAAAAACAUACAGUUAGCCAUUGUUAGCGUUAACUAUAAAAUAUCAACCAAGUCCUGUCUACAACGAGAAUGAAAUACUACCUGAUGUUUAACAGGAUUCCUAGGACCUUUUCUGAGAUGAUUUGUGGAUACAGGCCCUGAUUGGCUGAUAGAAUCGUCAACAACAACAAAAAGGCACAUGGUAUUCAACCUGUCAGUUGGAGCUGGACCCUGAAAGCCUGUCAGUUGGAGCUGGACCCUGAAAGCCUGUCAGUUGGAGCUGGACCCCGAAAGCCUGUCAGUUGGAGCUGGACCCCGAAAGCCUGUCAGUUGGAGCUGGACCCCGAAAGCCUGUCAAUUGGAGCUGGACCCCGAAAGCCUGUCAGUUGGAGCUGGACCCCGAAAGCCUGUCAGUUGGAGCUGGACCCCGAAAGCCUGUCAGUUGGAGCUGGACCCCGAAAGCCUGUCAGUUGGAUCUGAAGCUGGACCCCGAAAGCCUGUCAGUUGGAUCUGAAGCUGGAACCCGAAAGCCUGUCAGUUGGAUCUGGACCCCGAAAGCCUGUCAGUUGGAGCUGGACCCCGAAAGCCUGUCAGUUGGAGCUGGACCCCGAAAGCCUGUCAGUUGGAUCUGAAGCUGGACCCCGAAAGUCUGUCAGUUGGAGCUGAAGCUGGACCCCGAAAGCCUGUCAGUUGGAUCUGAAGCUGGACCCCGAAAGCGACAAACUUCCACAAGUGUGUAGGCUACUUUGUUUUGUCAUCAAAACAAAAAAAGACAUACAUCAUAAUUUGCUCUAUCAUUCUUGUACUGUUUUCAAUAGGUCACCAGAAGAUGCAGGACGAGAGGGGUAUCCUACGAAGCAAGCUAGAUCUACUCAGUUUUCUAAAGCUAGCUAGCUUCACUUCGCAUCCAAUUCAAGCUCAUUCAUCCAUACUGUAGCGACCCGCACAGACAGCUGUGUGUUAUGUGCUAGGCUAGGAGGUGGUUGUGUUGUACUGACCAGUACCCGGUGUUCGCGGGGUCCGACAUGUCAAUCAACCUGCUAUCUGCCAAUCACGGGAAUGCCUGGAAUGUUCUGAUGCCGGGCAUCCUGGUGGUUGGCGGAGUGGCGUGGAGGGGGGUUGGGCAUUGGAAGUUAAGACCAGGUUCAGCCUUUGUUCUCUCUCUCUUACGUCUGGGCUUCACAAGAGAAGGUCACGAUUGGCUUGUGGGUUAUCUGUCAUCUAUUUGGCGUGUGCUACGGCCCAAACAGUAGCCUGUGUAAAGUUGGUUCAAUAAACCGUCAAUUCGCAAACUCAA